UUGCUGCUUUGCUGCUUAGACCAGUUAACUUAGGACGUUUAUCUGAGCGAAGAAAAACAGACUGGGGAGAAACCAGGUCUCAAAUCAGGCGGUUCCCAGGAUCAGCACAAGUUCUGAGAACUCUCGACAGCGGAGUGGCCAGGCAGCGUUUCAGAAAACUGGAGGAAUGGAAUGGGGUUUGCUGAGACUCCAGCACCUUCAUGAGCUUCCAGUGCAUGUCCUCAAAGAGUAAUGGAGCACAUUUAAGAAUUCUUCAUUUGGCCCAGGGGAAGAAUGAAGACGAGGACCAUCAGGCACUCAUGCUGCAGCUCAGCAUCUAGACCUCGACUUUGCAUCACGGCCUCACAGGAGAGACAGCUGGUGCUGAGCUCAAGUCCCACCUUAAAGGCACACAGCACCCAUGAAGACACAGACAGACACAGGCAGCUUCAGAGACUCAAGACUACACAACCACGUGCCCUUUCCUGUGCAACAGGGAGCAGCAUACCACAGGCCGGCCUCUCAGGAAGCAUUUCUUGAGGGAGUGUUCUGGUGUAGCUGAUCUUUUGCUACUUUGUGGCUUCUUUUUCCCACUCUUUAUCUCCCCCCCCCCAACACACCCCUUUAACCCCCUAACACUAGAUAAGAGAGAAAAAAGGAUAGAGGAGAGUGAUCCCGAUUUUUCCCAACAGUUCCUCCCAGUUUCCAGCCCAACCCCUUCAGACAUUUCUCCCAACUGUUCCUCCCUCAGCUCCCCAACAGUCGGCUUAAACAGUCCCUUCUCCCAGUUUUCCCAAUGCUAGCGGUUCUAAACUAUGACAACUGUUCUAGCCCAUCUGCUCAGCUCAGCUUUUGGCUCAACUGUCUCCCAACAAUACCUUCCACCUCAACUGCUCUCUCUCCUCAGUCUCUCUCAGCCUCCACUAGCUUUUUUAUCCUCCACUGAAGGUCAUAGGGUCAAGCAGUUCUAAUGGCUACAAACUCUUUAAGGCCAGUUAACUAGCAACCGGGGCUCCUUUAAAGGGCCAGGCACACAAAAUAAAUCACACUGCACUCUGGGGAUCCGCUUGGGGCUCCCUCCAUGCUAGAGUGAGUUUUAGGAGCUAGGAGGUUACCGGAGGGGUACUGUGAUGGCUGUUUGUUGUCAGCUUGACUGCACCUAGCAGGACCUACAAUCCAGAAAUGGAGGGCACACCUGUGGGGCUCUUUGCUGUUGUUGCUCGUUUUGAAGUGGAUGAAUCCACUUCGCAUCCAGUCGCUGAUGUAGAAGACUCCCUUUAAUCUGGGUCUUGAGGCAGAAAGACACAUCUUUCAUUAACCUGCUGCACUUCUGCCAGAGGCCUCUGGAAGACAUGGAAGAAGGAAGCGUUUGCUCUUUGUUUGCUCUCACCUUGCUAGCAAGUCCAUUCCUUCAACUGGCGUCGGAGCCCGCUUCCUUGGAGUUCCAGCAUAUACUGAAGACCAGCCGAGACAUCCAGCUUUGUGGACUGAGCAACUACAUUCUUGGGCCUUCUGUUCAUAGCCUGCCAUUGUUGGAUUAGCUGGAUCACAGCAUGUAAGUCAUUCUAAUAAAUUUCAUAUGUACACACGUGUGUACACAUAGAUACAUAGAAGAGAAUCAUUCUGUAAGUUUUGUUUCUCUAGGGGACCCUGGCUAAUUCAGAUAAGAAAGUGUGGUAUGUAUAGACUGUUUUACAGCCAGAAAGAAUGCAGUCAUGCCAUCUGCUGGAAAAUGAAUGUAACUGGAGAUGAAGAACAAGCCUGUUCAGAAAUCAGUGUGCUUCUUCUCAUGGUUCCUAGAUCUGUAAAUAC